UACGAAGGGGGGCUAGCGUUGCUCGGAAUCACUGGGCGUAAAGGGUGCGUAGGCGGGUCUUUAAGUCAGGGGUGAAAUCCUGGAGCUCAACUCCAGAACUGCCUUUGAUACUGGCGAUCUCGAGUCCGGAAGAGGUGAGUGGAACUCCUAGUGUAGAGGUGGAAUUCGUAGAUAUUAGGAAGAACACCAGUGGCGAAGGCGGCUCACUGGUCCGGAACUGACGCUGAGGUGCGAAAGCGUGGGGAGCAAACAGG
rnacentral:rRNA from 1 species